rnacentral:rRNA from 1 species
AUUGAACGCUGGCGGCAGGCCUAACACAUGCAAGUCGAACGAGUGGCGGACGGGUGUGUAAUGUCUGGGGAACUGCCCGAUGGAGGGGGAUAACUACUGGAAACGGUAGCUAAUACCGCAUACCAUCGGAUGUGCCCAGAUGGGAUUAGCUAGUAGGUGGGGUAACGGCUCACCUAGGCGACGUACCCUAGCUGGUCUGAGAGGAUGACCAGCCACGCUGUAACUGAGACCAGGUCCAGACUACGACGGGAGGCAGGAGUGGGGAAUAUUGCACAAUGGGCUCAAGCAUGAUGCAGCCAUGCCGCGUGUAUGAAGAAGGCCUUCGGGUUGUAAAGUACUUUAAGCGAGGAAGCGUUACUCGCAGAAGAAGCACCGGCUAACUCCGUGCCAGCAGCCGCGGUAAUAC